GCGGGUGUAGCUCAGUGGUAGAGCGGCGGCUUGCCAUGCCGCAGGUCGCGGGUUCGAGUCCCGUCGCCCGCUCUA
rnacentral:tRNA from 1 species